rnacentral:lncRNA from 1 species
GCCCUGUGUGGCAGAUGAAACACCUGCUAUCUCCUUCCCCAGCAGAUGGCUGAGGCCCCUCUGGAUUCUGGCUCAAUGGGCAAAUGGACGCAGAGUAAAACCUCACUACUCUGGCUACCCAAGGAAGUCUACUGCAAAGAGCCGCGCAUUCCAAGUGGGGAACUGCAUGUUUCUCCUGGCCACUGUACCCCACAAGGAACAUCGAUAGGAAGAUCCUCUCUGGCUGGGGACUUCAAAAUAUAAACAAACCUCACAGACCGAACGUGUUAAUUAUCUGGAAGGAACCAGCUG